rnacentral:tRNA from 1 species
GGCCCUGUCAUCUAGUGGUUAGGAUAACGCCCCUUCACGGCGUAAACACCGGUUCGACUCCGGUCAGGGCUG